rnacentral:rRNA from 1 species
UACGUAGGGCGCAAGCGUUGUCCGGAAUUAUUGGGCGUAAAGAGCUCGUAGGCGGUCUGUCACGUCUGCCGUGAAAACCCGAGGCUUAACCUCGUGGCUUGCGGUGGAUACGGGCAGACUAGAGGUAGGUAGGGGAGAAUGGAAUUCCCGGUGUAGCGGUGAAAUGCGCAGAUAUCAGGAGGAACACCGGUGGCGAAGGCGGGUCUCUGGGCAGUAACUGACGCUGAGGAGCGAAAGCGUGGGGAGCGAACAGG